rnacentral:lncRNA from 1 species
GGGGCAGGAACAAGUGACUCGUCCUGUAUACUCAACAUUUGGCCUACUUUAAGUGCAGCUCCACGCAUUUCACACAACCCAAGAGCCAAUCUUUCUGCGUUUUCCUCAGACAGUAUAGAAGAGAGCGCAGGUUUAUUCCCUUGUGUGGGUGGCGUACCAUUCACAAGCCUGUAGGUUGAUUCUUUAACAGCUCCCCAAGCAAGACCAGCUCCAAGAUUGAAAAACCUUUCAAAAUUCACAUAUUUGUUAAUGACAUCAUCUGUUAAGUCCAAUGUAAUCUCACACGCUCAAGCUUGGUAAUUGUAGGAAUACUAACCACAUAAUGGCUUUAAUACCAUGUUAUUAAAUUCAAGGUUAUUAUGUAUUUCCAAAGAAAAAAAACAAUUGCCAGUAAUGAGAUUGGUCAUAAACUUUUUUAAUAAGGGUCAACAUAUAAACCAAUGUUCAAGACUAGCAAGUAGCAACUAAGGCAUUAACAAACUAUUUAAUUAUUUAUCUUUUAUGUAUUUUACAUUUACAUUAUAUAUUUUAGUUUUUGUAUUUGAUUAUAAAUUAUUUUGAUGAAUUAUAAAAAUUACAUCUACAAAAAAAUUAAACUAGACAAAUUUGUAACGUUAUUACUUAAUUUAACAGAUUUAUAUCAAUUUAGACUGAUUUAAACCAAUUUUAAAUUGGUUAGAUAGGAUUUUAAGAAAAUUGUUCCACCGCAUAGACAGAUUUCUAAAACCUUGAUAUAAACUGUUCUCACAAGAUUCAGUAGUAAAGAUCAAGUUUGUUACCAUUCGUAGAUAGUCAUCGACGAACUUCUUGGGGUAAUCACGAGCUGCUCCAAAAUCUAUAAGAUUGAUUGUUUUCGUGGGUUCGUCGUAUAAGAAGUUGCCCCAGUUAGGAUCUGUCUGCAUGAAGCGGAAGACAAAGAGUUCUUUCAACGUGAGUUCAAGCAUCUUCCUCCCGACAUAGUCUCGUGUUUCUUGAUCUAACGAGGCUACUUUAUCAAUGGGGACUCCUGUAAGAAGAAUAAACAUGGAUUAUUAGUUUCACCAACACAGAUAUGUAAAAUCAGAGUAAGGUGAGUUUGCAGUUUACCAGAGAUAAGUUCUGUGGUUAGGAUUUUUUUGCUUGAAAGCUCGUCUAUUACACGAGGAACGUAGAACCCUGGAGUGUCUGAAAGCAAAUCACGAAAGUGUUUUUGACUGACUGCUUCAAUCUCGUAGUCACACUCUCGUGCCAACUCUUCUUUAGCAACCUGCAUAAGAAAGCUUGAUCAUGAAUCUGAAAAAAAACAACAAAAGAUUGUUCUGUUCUGUCUUAUAUAACCGUUCUCACCUUUACAGCUCUGUCGAGAAAGAGUCCCUUUGGAAUUAGAUUUGUGUAGUUUAAUAAGCGUCUGACGUUUUCGAUAUCACUUUCAAUGCUGUUGGCAACUCCAGGGUACUGAAUCUUCAUUGCUACUUCUAAUCCAUCUUUAGUAACAGCUCGGUGCACCUAAACCCAUUAUUACAUAAAUAGAAGAACAAAACCAUUCAACACAUUCACAAGGAAAAAGCAUCAUACACGCACCUGGCCAAUACUGGCUGCUGCUAGCGGUUCGUAAUCAAAACUAGCUAACUUGGAUUGCCAGUUAGGACCUAACUCAGCAUCCAAAACUGGAUUAAGUUGGCUCCUUGGCAUCACAUCUGCACCUUGACGCACAAGUUCCAGAGCAUUCAAGAUCUACAAAAAGAGACCUACUUCACGUCAAAUAAGAUCAAAACAUGAGUGGGAAGAGGAAGUUUUAUGCUAUUUACCGGGGCAGGAACAAGUGACUCGUCCUGUAUACUCAACAUUUGGCCUACUUUAAGUGCAGCUCCACGCAUUUCACACAACCCAAGAGCCAAUCUUUCUGCGUUUUCCUCAGACAGUAUAGAAGAGAGCGCAGGUUUAUUCCCUUGUGUGGGUGGCGUACCAUUCACAAGCCUGUAGGUUGAUUCUUUAACAGCUCCCCAAGCAAGACCAGCUCCAAGAUUGAAAAACC